UCAUGAAGGAGCUGUGAGACUGAGAGACAGCAGACUUAGAAAUAUCAUGCAAAUUGUAGGAAUAUAAAUAUUACUGGCUCACUGGUUCUGUUUUUAACGGUAAACUCGCUGUAGGGGAACUAUUAGGUCACGACUUGAACUGGUGAUUGAGCACCUGGUGAAGGAGUGUGGCUGGCCUGGGAAGCACAAAUUGUUUGCACCUGUACUCCCCAUGUGACCAGAAUGGGUGGACUCACCCUGGCUUCAUAUAAGGGCCAGCCACUGAAGGGAGAGCAUCUCUUGGACCUAGGCUGGUUCCUGAGAAGGGGUGCUGCAUAGCUGGAGACUCCCUUCACCAGUAGGAUGCUUUCCUCAAGUGGGAGAAAUGCCAAAUGCCUGAAGUUUGACAGCUGGUCAGAGUGGGUGUGCAGCCUCUGAACAAGACUCUACCACUACAGAAGGAGACAGUUUCCAGAAAUUGCUUCUACAACAUCAGUGGCUGUUUCCAAAGGGAAAGGUGUGCUGGUACAAGGAACCUAGAGCAUCUGCUCAGCAAGUGGUGGAGCAAGUGUUAACAGUCACCUGCAGUGAGACCUCAGCUGCACCCACUGAUUGCUGAGAUUUUUCAGCCCGGCAGCCUCAGAGACUUGGGAAUUGUUUUCCUGCUCUAAGGAGGAACUCUUCAGGGAGAAACUUAGCCAUCGAAGCAUUCUUCCUAGAAAGAUCAUUGCAAGCUAGAACUGUGUGUGUGCAUCCUAUCAGCUGUGAGCAGCCAUGUACAGCAGGUAAAGGAAAGGUGUACAGUGCCAGCCAGGACUCAACUCCAGAGAAGCAGAACGCAAGGUGCACUCCACCGCUUCUUUCUGGGUGCUGCACAGCACUUCCCCACACUAAGGAGAUGCAGCAGGCACUAAAGAUGAGAUCACAACUGAGCCAAACCCUAAAAGUGAAGCAGUGUGGUUCAAGAGCAGAUCAGAGACUGUGUCACUGGAAAGAUGAUCCUGCUGCUUCUCUCGUGACUGGGAAAGCAGAAUGCCCAGCUGAAAAUACCUUGAAUGGUAUUUCCUGGAAGAUGCUUGCAUUAGCGGUGAUCCUCAUUUCUAUGGCAAGACACGAAAC